rnacentral:snoRNA from 1 species
AAAUUCAAGACUUCAUACCCCUCGGCUCUAAAUAUUGGUCUGAGUGGCCCAAAAAGGAGGAAAAGCAAAACGGAAGUGGACUUGGAGUCUUUACCCACAUACAAGUGCAUUUCAAACAUAA